GUCCAGACUCCUACGGGAGGCAGCAGUGGGGAAUAUUGCACAAUGGGGGAAACCCUGAUGCAGCGACGCCGCGUGAGCGAUGAAGUAUUUCGGUAUGUAAAGCUCUAUCAGCAGGGAAGAAGAUGACGGUACCUGACUAAGAAGCCCCGGCUAACUACGUGCCAGCAGCCGCGGUAAUACGUAGGGGGCAAGCGUUAUCCGGAUUUACUGGGUGUAAAGGGAGCGUAGACGGCGAUGCAAGCCAGAUGUGAAAGCCCGGGGCUCAACCCCGGGACUGCAUUUGGAACUGUGUGGCUGGAGUGUCGGAGAGGCAGGCGGAAUUCCUAGUGUAGCGGUGAAAUGCGUAGAUAUUAGGAGGAACACCAGUGGCGAAGGCGGCCUGCUGGACGAUGACUGACGUUGAGGCUCGAAAGCGUGGGGAGCAAACAGGAUUAGAUACCCGAGUACA
rnacentral:rRNA from 1 species